rnacentral:rRNA from 1 species
AUAAUUUAUCUCCGUGUUGUAGCUAACGCGUUAAGCACUCCGCCUGGGGACUACGGUCGCAAGACUAAAACUCAAAGGAAUUGACGGGGACCCGCACAAGCGGUGGAGCAUGUGGUUUAAUUCGAUGCAACGCGAAAAACCUUACCACUCCUUGACAUGGAGAUUAGAUCCUUCUUAACAGAAGGGCGCAGUUCGGCUGGAUCUCGCACAGGUGCUGCAUGGCUGUCGUCAGCUCGUGUCGUGAGAUGUUGGGUUAAGUCCCGCAACGAGCGUAACCCUCAUCCUUAGUUGCCAGCGGGUAAGCCGGGCACUUUAAGGAAACUGCCGGUGGUAAACCGGAGGAAGGUGGGGAUGAUGUCAAGUCAGCACGGCCCUUAUGGGGUGGGCUACACACGUGCUACAAUGGUGACUACAAUAGGUUGCAAUGUCGCAAGGCUGAGCUAAUCCGUAAAAGUCAUCUCAGUUCGGAUUGUCCUCUGCAACUCGAGGGCAUGAAGUCGGAAUCGCUAGUAAUCGUGGAUCAGCAUGCCACGGUGAAUACGUUCUCGGGUCUUGUACACACUGCCCGUCACGCCAUGGGAAUUGGCUUAACUCGAAGCUGGUGCGCUAACCGAAA